rnacentral:rRNA from 1 species
UGUAGUCAUAUGCUUGUCUCAAAGAUUAAGCCAUGCAUGUCUAAGUAUAAGCACUCUUUUACUGUGAAACUGCGAAUGGCUCAUUAAAUCAGUUAUCGUUUAUUUGAUAGUACCCUACUACAUGGAUACCUGUGGUAAUUCUAGAGCUAAUACAUGCGCAAAACCCCGACUUCGGAAGGGGUGUAUUUAUUAGAUAAAAAACCAAUGCCCUUCGGGGCUCCUUGGUGAUUCAUAAUAACUUCACGAAUCGCAUGGCCUUGCGCCGGCGAUGGUUCAUUCAAAUUUCUGCCCUAUCAACUUUCGAUGGUAGGAUAGUGGCCUACCAUGGUGGCAACGGGUAACGGGGAAUGGGG